rnacentral:rRNA from 1 species
GUCUGCAGCCAUACCACGCUGAACAUGCCCGAUCUCGUCUGAUCUCAGAAGCUAAGCAGGGUUGGGCCUGGUUAGUACUUGGAUGGGAGACUGUCUGAAAAUACUGGGUGCUGUAGGCU